AUGUUGAUACCAUCUCUACCAAACACUGUGACCACACAGAUUGGAAUAUCACCCCUUGUCUUCACAACUUACAUCUUACUCUUGUUCUUCUUAGCACUAUUAGGAACCAAUAACCUACAACUGCCAGCACCUCAGGACGUUUCCGCCUGUAAUUCAGACAUCUGCAUUUCAUAUCCCCUUCUCACCAGAUUAUCCCCUGAAGCACCAGUGUACCCCUAUGUCACUAAGGAUGUUAUGGUACUAGUGGUUUAUGAGCCUUCUCAGCUUGAAAGUAUAUGCAUCUGCUUUUUAUUUCCCCUAUUUUGGUUAUGGGGGUUGCAUGCAAUGUAAUAAGUUCAGAGCCUCAUUAGGUUUUUCUGCGUGGAUGUUCUCUUAUUGCAGCAUGCAUAUCGAGAUGGCCGUCUAGAGGAGGUAGUUCUACGUCAUCUUGGGUCUGAAGAUGGAGAAACUGUGAUAGCUAAAAAUAUUAGGCUGUCAGAGUUCCUUGGUAACAUGCGUAUAAGGUGAACAGAUGCUGUUUUAUAGUCUAGAGAUAUCUAAUGAUAUGGAGAAAUCAUGCGCCACUUCAAUUGCUGAGUUCUUUUCAAAUGCCAGUGUGGCACUCCAGUUGUUUUUGAGAUUUGCUUGCUGUAGGGGACCAGAACAUGGAGUGUUGGGCAUGCUAUACUAUUUAUCAAGGUGCAUCUUCUAUCAAAGUAAUAAAAAUCGUCAUGCAUUGGAUGGGUAUGUUUGAGAGUUCUCAUCAGCUGUCUAUUUAUGGGAUAAUGAUCUUUAGCAAUGGGCGUGCAAAUAGCCGUGUUGUUACCUAGUUGAAUGGUUCUCCCUCACCAACAGUGAUAUAUUUGGAACUGUUUAUAUAAUUGUUUUUUCUGGCUUCCAUUCUUGUCAAUAUGGAGCUGUGAUGACAUGUUCUGGGCAACAUUGUCUGAGGUCUUUUGUAUUCUAAUCUGAAUUUUUCUGCUGUUUGAGGACAUUGGAUCUUGCAGGAUGUAAAUGGGGUUUAGAGCUCCCUAAAAUCAAUUUCAUUUAUAGAUACUUAUAUCACUUGUUAUACAUGAAAGAUUAGCUUCCUCUC